rnacentral:piRNA from 1 species
UGGAGCCAUAACUGGAGUAACUGUCU